GACGAACGCUGGCGGCGUGCUUAACACAUGCAAGUCGAACGGACAGGCCCUGCUCUUGCGGCGUGCUCGAGUGGCGAACGGGUGAGUAAAACGCGAGUAAACUGCCCCUGACUUUCGGAUAACACCAGGAAACUGGGGCUAAUAUCGGAUAGAAGCUCCUGCUGCACAGUGGUGGUUGGAAAGUUUCGGCGGUGGGGGAUGGUUUCGCGGCGUAUCAGCUUGUUGGUGGGGUAGUGGCUUACCAAGCCUUUGACGGGUAGCCGGCCUGGGAGGGUGACCGGCGACAUGGGGACUGAGAUACGGCGCAGACUCCUACGGGAGGCAGCGGUGGGGAGUAUUGCGCAGUGGGCGGAAGCCUGAUGCGGCAACGCCGCGUGCGUGAUGACGGGCUUCGGGGUAUAAACCGCUUUCGCCUGUGAUGAAGCGUGAGUGACGGUAAUGGGUAAGGAAGCACCGGCUAACUACGUG
rnacentral:rRNA from 1 species